UAGUUGGUGGGGUAAAGGCCUACCAAGGCGACGAUCUGUAGCGGGUCUGAGAGGAUGAUCCGCCACACUGGGACUGAGACACGGCCCAGACUCCUACGGGAGGCAGCAGUGGGGAAUAUUGGACAAUGGGCGCAAGCCUGAUCCAGCCAUGCCGCGUGUGUGAAGAAGGCCUUUUGGUUGUAAAGCACUUUAAGCGAGGAGGAGGCUACUUGGAUUAAUACUCUAGGAUAGUGGACGUUACUCGCAGAAUAAGCACCGGCUAACUCUGUGCCAGCAGCCGCGGUAAUACAGAGGGUGCGAGCGUUAAUCGGAUUUACUGGGCGUAAAGCGUGCGUAGGCGGCUUUUUAAGUCGGAUGUGAAAUCCCUGAGCUUAACUUAGGAAUUGCAUUCGAUACUGGGAAGCUAGAGUAUGGGAGAGGAUGGUAGAAUUCCAGGUGUAGCGGUGAAAUGCGUAGAGAUCUGGAGGAAUACCGAUGGCGAAGGCAGCCAUCUGGCCUAAUACUGACGCUGAGGUACGAAAGCAUGGGGAGCAAACAGGAUUAGAUACCCUGGUAGUCCAUGCCGUAAACGAUGUCUACUAGCCGUUGGGGCCUUUGAGGCUUUAGUGGCGCAGCUAACGCGAUAA
rnacentral:rRNA from 1 species